CCGAGUUUUACAGCUCCCAAACCCUUUGUGAACCUUACCAGUCGUUGCUUCGGCGGGACCGCGCCGGCGCCUCUGCGCGCCGGAUCCCCGCGCCCGCCGGGGGCCCGAAAUUCUUAGUUUUCCAGUGGAUUCUCCGAGUGGCAUAAGCAAAUGAAUCA
rnacentral:misc_RNA from 1 species